AACGAACGCUGGCGGCGUGCUUAACACAUGCAAGUCGAACGGUAAGGCCCUUCGGGGUACACGAGUGGCGAACGGGUGAGUAACACGUGGGUGAUCUGCCCUGCACUUCGGGAUAAGCCUGGGAAACUGGGUCUAAUACCGGAUAGGACCACUGCCUGCAUGGGUGGUGGUGGAAAGCUUUUGCGGUGUGGGAUGGGCCCGCGGCCUAUCAGCUUGUUGGUGGGGUGAUGGCCUACCAAGGCGACGACGGGUAGCCGGCCUGAGAGGGUGACCGGCCACACUGGGACUGAGAUACGGCCCAGACUCCUACGGGAGGCAGCAGUGGGGAAUAUUGCACAAUGGGCGCAAGCCUGAUGCAGCGACGCCGCGUGAGGGAUGACGGCCUUCGGGUUGUAAACCUCUUUCAGCACCGACGAAGCGCAAGUGACGGUAGGUGCAGAAGAAGGACCAGCCAACUACGUGCCAGCCGCCGCGGUAAUAC
rnacentral:rRNA from 1 species